UAAGCAAGUCAGAGCAGAGGUGUGUGCUAA
rnacentral:piRNA from 1 species